UGAGGAAUUUUGCGCAAUGGGGGGAACCCUGACGCAGCAACGCCGCGUGGGUGAUGAAGGCCUUCGGGUCGUAAAGCCCUGUCGGGCGGGAAGAACGUCCCUUCGGGGAAUGACGGUACCGCCAGAGGAAGCACCGGCUAACUCCGUGCCAGCAGCCGCGGUAAUACGGAGGGUGCAAGCGUUAUUCGGAAUUACUGGGCGUAAAAGGCGUGCAGGCGGGAGAGCAAGGCUGAUGUGAAAGCCCGGGGCUGAACCCCGGAAGGGCAUUGGAAACUGCUGUUCUUGAGUUCUGGAGAGGAAGGGAGAAUUCCCGGUGUAGAGGUGAAAUUCGUAGAGAUCGGGAGGAACAUCAGUGGCGAAGGCGCCCUUCUGGACAGCAACUGACGCUGAGACGCGAAAGCGUGGGGAGCAAACA
rnacentral:rRNA from 1 species